AUGGCCCUGAACGAACUUCAUUUGACUCUAUGUAAACUGGAAAACACAUAUCCGGAGGCUGCAUUUAUUGUAGCUGGGGUUUUUUACAAGGCUAAUCUGAAAACAAACCUGCCUAAAUUCUAUCAGCAUAUCGAUUGCGCUACCAGGGCUGGCAAAACCCUAGAUCAUUGUUAUUCUAACUUCUGCGACGCAUAUAAGGCCCUCCCCCACCCUCCUUUCGGAAAAGCUGACCACGACUCCGUUUUGUUGCUUCCAGCCUAUAGACAGAAACUAAAACAGGAAGCUCCCGCGCUCCGGUCUGUUCAAUGCUGGUCCGACCAAUCGGAUUCCACGCUUCAAGAUUGCUUUGAUCACGUGGACUGGGAUAUAUUCCGCAUUGCGGCGAACAACAACAUUGAUGAAUACGCUGAUUCGGUGAGCGGGUUUAUUAGCAAGUGCAUCGGCGAUGUCGUACCCAGAGCGUCUAUUAAAACAUUCCCAAACCAGAAACCGUGGAUUGAUGGCAGCAUUCGCGCAAAACUGAAAGCGCGAAUCACUGCUUUUAAUCAGGGCAAGGUGACCGGAAACAUGACCGAAUACAAACAGUGUAGCUAUUCCCUCCGCAAGGCAAUCAAACAAGCUAAGCGUCAGUAUAGAGAUAAAGUAGAGUCGCAAUUCAACGGGUCAGACACGAGAGGUAUGUGGCAGGGUCUACAGUCAAUCACGGACUAUAAAAGGAAAACCAGCCCCGUCGCGGACCAGGAUGUCUUGCUCCCAGACAGACUAAACAACUUCUUUGCUCGCUUUGAGGACAAUACAGUACCACUGACACGGCCCGCUACCAAAACCUGCGGGCUCUCCUUCACUGCAGCUGACGUGAGCAAAACAUUUAAACGUGUCAACCCUCUCAAGGCUGCAGGCCCAGACCGCAUCCCCAGCCGUGUCCUCAGAGCAUGCGCAGACCAGCUGGCUGGUGUGUUUACGGACAUAUUUAAUCAAUCCUUAUCCCAGUCUGCUGUCCCCACAUGCUUCAAGAGGGCCACCAUUGUUCCUGUUCCCAAGAAAGCUAAGGUAACUGAGCUAAAUGACUACUGCCCCGUAGCACUCACUUCCGUCAUCAUGACGUGCUUUGAGAGACUAGUCAAGGACCAUAUCACCUCCACCCUACCUGACACACUAGACCCACACCAAUUUGCUUACCGCCCCAAUAGGUCCACAGACGACGCAAUCGCAAUCACACUGCACACUGCCCUAACCCAUCUGGACAAGAGGAAUACCUACGUAAGAAUGCUGUUCAUCGACUACAGCUCAGCAUUUAACACCAUAGUACCCUCCAAACUUGACCCUGGGUCUCGACCCCGCCCUGUGCAACUGGGUCCUGGACUUCCUGACGGGCCGCCCCCAGGUGGUGAGGGUAGGUAA
rnacentral:lncRNA from 8 species